GACGAACGCUGGCGGCGCGCCUAACACAUGCAAGUCGAACGGAGUUGUGUUGAAAGCUUGCUGGAUAUACAACUUAGUGGCGGACGGGUGAGUAACACGUGAGUAACCUGCCUCUCAGAGUGGAAUAACGUUUGGAAACGGCUGCUAAUACCGCAUAAUGCAUCGGAUUCGCAUGUUUUUGAUGCCAAAGAUUUUAUCGCUGAAAGAUGAGCUCGCGUCUGAUUAGCUAGUUGGCGGGGUAACGGCCCACCAAGGCGACGAUCAGUAGCCGGACUGAGAGGUUGAACGGCCACAUUGGGACUGAGACACGGCCCAG
rnacentral:rRNA from 1 species